rnacentral:rRNA from 1 species
UACGUAGGGGGCAAGCGUUGUCCUGAAUCAUUGGGCGUAAAGCGCGUGUAGGCGGCCCGAUAAGUCCGCUGUGAAAGUCCAGGGCUCAACCCUGGGAUGCCGGUGGAUACUGUCGGGCUCGAGUCCGGAAGAGGCGAGUGGAAUUCCUGGUGUAGCGGUGAAAUGCGCAGAUAUCAGGAGGAACACCAAUGGCGAAGGCAGCUCGCUGGGACGUGACUGACGCUGAGACGCGAAAGCGUGGGGAGCAAACAGG